rnacentral:rRNA from 1 species
AUGGCUGCUACUGCUUGGCCACGGGACAUCUGGAACCAUUGGGCCAUCCAGAUCCUGGUGAUCUUCAGCCUCGGGCUCCAGAUAGCCCUCUUCCUCUUUGCCGGGAUCCGCAGGCGUGGAGNNNNNNNNNNNNNNNNNNNNNNNNNNNNNNNNNNNNNNNNNNNNNNNNNNNNNNNNNNNNNNNNNNNNNNNNNNNNNNNNNNNNNNNNCCACCUCUCCCUCACCGGCGCGGCAGGCGCGCACCCGAUCGUCGCGUUCUGGGCGCCAUUCCUCCUGCUGCACCUCGGAGGCCCGGACAACAUCACCGCCUACUCUUUGGAGGACAACGAGCUCUGGAAGCGGCACUUGCUGAAUGCCAUCCUUCAGGUGUCCGGAGCCGUGUAUGUCCUCUACGAGUAUAUCGCGGACACGGGCACAUUGCUCCGGCUUGCCUCCAUCUUGAUGUUGGCCAUCGGUGCUGUCAAGUACGGGGAGAAGACGUGUGCGCUCAUGCGCAGCAACCUGGACAGAAUCCGAGCCUCUCUCAAGAAGCAACCACAUGCCAUGCAUGGACAUUUCCACCCUCAAGAUCAAGUGUUGAAGGAUGGAGAAUUAGACGAGGAAUCCCUUGUGCGAAGAGCUCACUCGCUGUUCCACAUAUGCAAGCAUGCCAUAGUUGAUUACCCAGUGAUGGAAGAUGAUUCACACAGCCAAGAUACCACCAAAAUGAUAGGCGAGGUCGGUUUAUGGAGAUUAGUGGAGGUUGAGCUCUCCCUCAUGUAUGACAUGCUGUACACCAAGGCAAGUGUCAUCCACACCUGGUUCGGCUACUUGGUGCGUCUCAUCUCACCACUCGCCAUAGCCGCAUCAUUGCUGCUUUUUAUGUUCGUCGACAAGGAAGCCCACCGCAGAGUUGAUGUCAAUAUCACCUACAUAUUGUAUGGUGGUGCCUUGUUCAUGGAGAUGAUGUCGAUGCUGAACGCCCUAGGCUCCUCUUGGACAUUUGUCUUCCUGAGUACCACGAGAUGCCACUGGCUUCAAUACGCAGCUCUGUGCAAUCGAAGAUGGGACCGGCUUAGGCGUGCUGUUGUAUAUCUUCACCAUCUUGUCAGGGUAGGAGGAGGUAGCCGGUACAGCUCAAGGAGGUGGUCACAUAGCAUGGGACAGUACAAUAUGUUGCACCUUUGCACUGGUUCUGACAGUGCACUCACGAGGCCUCUUCUUGGGAGUUUGGCCAAGGUUGUGGGACUGGGAUUGACGGAGCUUUGGAACAAGGAGUAUUACUCAUGGGAUAUUAACAUGGCGGACCAUAUAAAGGUUUGUAUAUCUGAACAUAUUAAGAAUUUAUACAGUGAUGGGAGUGUGAACUCACUGGGCAUGCUCAAGAACAAGUGGGGUGAGGAACCACUGGUUCGCAGGGAUUUGUUUGGAGGGAUAUUUGAAGACUCCCUGGGUGUUGAUUUCCAAGAGUGCAUCAUCAUCUGGCACAUCGGCAGCGCUAUUUUCCUGGCCAAGAGCCAGCAAGCCAAAGAAGAGGACGCAUUGCUGGAUGUGGAGGCCAUCAAGGCGAUAUCAAACUACAUGAUGUUCCUUCUCGUGAAACAGCCAGACACACUACCAGGCCGCUCCCAAAACAGGUUGUAUGAACUAACCUGUACAAAGCUGGUCAAGACCAGGCGAUCGACUCAUAGGCGUCAAAACAUGAACCUACGUGCUACGCUCAAGAAUCUGUUCAGCCUACAUGAUGGCCCUGAUUCCAAUUCCAGGGCCACUGACAGAGAGGAGCUUGCAAAAGAGCUAUAUGAUGAGUAUGAGGGCAAAAGCUUCAGCUACGAUGCUCCUCGUCUCCCCCUUGUAGCUGAACUUGCUAAGGAACUGCUAAGAAUGGAGAAGGAAGGCAGCAUGGUUAACUCGGUGCGACUUGUCCUUGACGUGUGGAGGGAUAUUCUUUUUUACGCAGCCAGCAACUGCAGCAGGAAAUUCUAUGCCGAGAAGCUGAGCAAUGGCGGUGAGUUGACAACCAUCGUGUGGCUUGUGGCAGAACACUUAUACCAACUAUUUGUCAAGAGCCUGAUCAAAAGAUUGAAAAAGGAUAAUGAUUUAGCAUGA